AUACGUAGGUGACAAGCGUUAUCCGGAUUUACUGGGCGUAAAGGGCGUGUAGGCGGUCUUGCAAGUCAGAAGUGAAAUUCCUGAGCUCAACUCGGGCGCUGCUUCUGAAACUGCAGGACUUGAGUGCUGGAGGGGAUAGCGGAAUUCCUAGUGGAGCGGUAAAAUGCGCAGAUAUUAGGAAGAACACCGGUGGCGAAGGCGGUUAUCUGGACAGUAACGGACGCUGAGGCGCGAAGGCGGGGGGAGCAAACAGGAUUAGAUACCCUGGUAUUCCACGCCGUAAACGAUGAUUACUAGGUGUGGGGGGACUGACCCCCUCCGUGCCGCAGUUAACACAAUAAGUAUUCCACCUGGGGAGUACGGCCGCAAGGUUGAAACUCAAAUGAAUUGACGGGG
rnacentral:rRNA from 1 species